UACGUAGGGGGCUAGCGUUGUCCGGAAUCAUUGGGCGUAAAGAGCGUGUAGGCGGCCCGGUAAGUCCGCUGUAAAAGUCAAAGGCUCAACCUUUGAAUGUCAGUGGAUACUGUCGGGCUAGAGUCCGGAAGAGGCGAGUGGAACUCCUGGUGUAGCGGUGGAAUGCGCAGAUAUCGGGAAGAACACCAACGGCGAAGGCAGCUCGCUGGGACGGUACUGACGCUAAGGCGCGAAAGCGUGGGGAGCGAACAGG
rnacentral:rRNA from 1 species